UACGUAGGGUGCGAGCGUUGUCCGGAAUUACUGGGCGUAAAGAGCUCGUAGGUGGUUUGUCGCGUUGUCCGUGAAAACUCACAGCUCAACUGUGGGCGUGCGGGCGAUACGGGCAGACUGGAGUACUGCAGGGGAGACUGGAAUUCCUGGUGUAGCGGUGGAAUGCGCAGAUAUCAGGAGGAACACCGGUGGCGAAGGCGGUUCUCUGGGACGGUACUGACGCUGAGACGCGAAAGCGUGGGGAGCGAACAGG
rnacentral:rRNA from 1 species